GCCCCAAUAGUAUAUCGGUUAGAACACAUCCUUUACACGGAUGGAAGGCCAGUUCGAUUCUGGCUUGGGGCA
rfam:Trichomonas vaginalis G3, whole genome shotgun sequence.